AUCGCUGAACCUUAGCAUAUAACUAAGCGGAAAAAAAGAAACUCACAAGGAUUUCCCUAGUAACAGCGAGUGAAGAGGGAAUAGUCCAGCACCGAAGCUUGCGGUAGGUUUACUGCCAGGCAAUGGGGAGUUUGGGUCGACUCGCGAAAUGGCCAAUCUACUCGACGUCCAAAAUUUAGUAUGGUUCUCUGGAUUGGGCCCAGAGGCGGUAAGAAGCCCGUGCGAGUGGAGGUUCUGGCAUGUGAGGCAAUUCGCGAAGUCGACCUUCAAGGCAGGUUGUUUGGGAAUGCUGCUCGCCGUGUUUUCUCAAUCCUUAGAAAGUGCUUAUAGAUCCGAGGUGACU
rnacentral:ncRNA from 1 species